GUGGCCAGACUGGUCUUGAACUCCUGACCUCAGGUGAUCCACGCACCUCGGCCUCCCAAAGUGCUGGGAUUACAGGCCUGAGCCACCAUGCCCGGCCUUUCGUUCCUUUUAGUGGCUGAGCAGUAUUCCGUGGUGUACAUAUACCACAGUUUCUUUAUCCACUGAUUAGUCUGUGGGUACUUAGGUUGGUUUCACAUCUUUGCAAUUAUGAAUUGUGCUACUAUAAACAUAAGUGUGCAGGUAUCUUUUUCAUAUUAUGACUUAUUUUCCUUUGGGUGGAUACCCAGUAGUGGGAUUGCUGGAUUGAAUGGUAGAUCUACUUUUAGGACGGCUGAAUUUCUGUACUUGUGUCUGACUUCAGUCUGUUACAACAGGUUUUGAUCGAUGUACAUGAAGAAAAUCAAGCUCAUGCAGAUAUGUAAUUGGCAAAGGGAUGAGUAUUGUGAUAAACUUUUCCAGAUAAUUGUGGCUGUUCUUGAUACUAGAGCAAAACUCAACAAGUGGCAGUUUCUUAAAGCCUAUGCAGAAGACAUAAUCCAGAAGGCCUGCUGUUGUCUGAUCCACCAGAAAAGGAAAAUGUGUUUCUCCUGCAGAGAGUUGCAGAGCGGAUCUGAAUCAUUUCGACAGGCAGGCUCCGUGGACGCAAUGCUGAAGGAAAGGGUCAAUGCCUUACUUGACUUCCUGAAGAACUCCUUGGACAUCUGAUUCUGUUCAUUUGUUUGCACCUAUUGAUUGGGCGUCUGCCAUGUGCUCAGCUCUGUGAGCCACUCCAGAGAUGUUAAGACCCCAGGCCUUGAGCACACUUGAGUCCAUUGUGAAUCUAUUUAAUCAAAGUUUCUUCACUGCCAGGGUUUCCGUAGCAUCAAAAAAAGUCAGAGAGCUGAUUCACUAUUAUGAUUAUUUCACCCCAAACCUGCUUUCUGUCAAGUCAUUUGUGUUUUCUAAUCCAUGAAAAUAUGUAUGCUGAUGCUUUUCUUUUUCAGAGGGUUUUUGUGAGCUUUCAAGAGGGUAAAAAAAGAACUCGGCAAAAUGAAUAGUAAUUUCAGGAAUUUCCAGAGUAAAUGAGGCUCUGAGCAGAGCCUAUGAUCUGUGUGCAUAAUUCAUUAAAAACGAAUCACUCUGCAAAACUGGGCAAACCAACAUUUAUCCUCAGACUAACUCUGCAUGCCGUGUGGUGGCUGUGUCAUCUGUGGAGGCUGCUAAUGAAGCUCUUUAUGUAAAUUUGAGAGUAAACAGAUUUGGACAACUUUAUUAACCGGGAAAGCAGCAGCGACUAUCUCUUCCCAAAUCACACAGGCCCUUACAGUUCAAUCUGGAGAAAAUUAUUCUUCUAAGGAUGUGUGUGUAUGUGUGUGUGGGUGGUGUGUGUGUGUGUGUAUGUGGAUCAUGAACAAUUAUUUUGCAUGAUUACAAAGUUACAGAGACACAAACUCCAUGUUGUAAAUAACUAAUCUGUUUCAAGCAAGGGACAAACUAAGAUAACGGAAAUAAUCAUAGUUGGGCCAGGAACAUUGGCUCAAGCCUGUCAUCCCAGCACUUAUGGAGGCCGAGGUGGGCGGAUCACCUGAGGUCAGGAGUUCGAGACCAGCCUGGUCAACAUGUUGAAACCCCGUCUCUACUAAAAAUACAAACCUUAGCCAGGCAUGGCGGCAGGUGCCUAUAAUCCUAGCUACGUGGGAGGCAGGCAUGAGAAUUGCUUGAACCUGGGAGGCAGAGGUUGCAGUGAGCUGAGAUGGCACCAUUCCACUGCAGCCUGGCGACAGAACGAGACCCUGUCUCAAUAAAAAAAAGAAAAAGAAAGAAAGAAAAGAAAAGAAAGAAUCGUAGUUGUUUUGCACUGGGUUUGCUCUAUGGGCAGACUAUAAUGCAGGAAGCCUUUUUCUAUGCCUUGUGUCUCAUAACCUCCCCAGAAACCUUAUAAGAUACUCACCUGAGGCUUAGAGAGGUGAAAGGAUUUUCACAUUACUCAUCUUGUAAGUGGCAGACUGAGAAUUUAAACUCAUUUUUGAGUCCAAAGUCUGUGCUCUUAACAAUUGCAUAUGGCUUCAGAAAUCUGGGAAAUUCUUUGAAAGAAAAUUAAACUGGAAAGCAUCCUUUUUCUACCAAUUUGAAUGUAAAAAUAUCAGAUGAUUGAAGAAAGAGAACACUGGACACACAUCCUCUAGAUGAGAUGUGGACAAUGCCCAUAUUCAGGAAAGACUGCCAAUCCUUCAUUUUGGCUUUC
ensembl:lncRNA